rnacentral:misc_RNA from 1 species
UUCUCGGGCUCCUCGUCGGCGG